rnacentral:rRNA from 1 species
UACGUAGGUGGCAAGCGUUAUCCGGAAUUACUGGGCGUAAAGCGCACGCAGGCGGUCUUUUAAGUUUGACGUGAAAGCUCCCGGCUUAACUGGGAGAGGUCGUUGAAUACUGGAAGACUUGAGGAAAUGAGAGGGGUGUAGAAUUCCUGGUGUAGUGGUGGAAUGCGUAGAUAUCAGGAGGAAUACCGGUGGCGAAGGCGGCGAUCUGAGUCGAUACUGACGCUGAGGUGCGAAAGCGUGGGGAGCAAACAGG